rnacentral:rRNA from 1 species
GACGAACGCUGGCGGCGUGCUUAACACAUGCAAGUCGAGCGGUAAGGCCCUUUCGGGGGUACGACGAGCGGCGAACGGGUGAGUAACACGUGGGUGACCUGCCCUCAGCUCUGGGAUAAGCCUGGGAAACCGGGUCUAAUACUGGAUAUGACUCCAUGACGCAUGUUGUGGGGUGGAAAGCCUUGUGCGGCUGAGGAUGGGCCCGCGGCCUAUCAGCUUGUUGGUGGGGUGAGGCCUACCAAGGCGACGACGGGUAGCCGGCCUGAGAGGGCGACCGGCCACACUGGGACUGAGACACGGCCCAGACUCCUACGGGAGGCAGCGAGUGGGGAAUCUUGCGCAAUGGGCGAAAGCCUGACGCAGCGACGCCGCGUGAGGGAUGACGGCC